CUGUUUUCCAGAGUGGCUGCACCAGCUGGCAUUCCCAUUUUUUGCUUUUCCUUAACAAUAUGUGAUCAAAAUUUUCAGUGAGUUAAACCUCUUCCUUCAAGUCACAUUAUUUUUUUAUUUUAAUUUUCAGUUCCGGUACAGUUAACAUAUGGUGUUGUGUUAGCUUCAGGUAUGCAAUAUAGUGAUUCCACGUUUGGAUACGGUGCAGAGCGCCCCUCCCCUCCAGCUCACUUUAAAGGGCUAUCUUCUGAGCGGACGGACCAUAAUACAUAUAAGCAGACUCCUCCAUUUACAUUCUCUCCCCUUUUUCUCUCUUCUAAGGAAUGCUGCAGCAAACAUCCUUGGGCAGUUUUGCCCACGGCCUUGAUUAUUCCUUGGGACUUGUUUCUAGAAGGGAAUCCCUGGGCCGAGGACCCAUUCUAAAGGCUCUUGAUUUAGAAGGCACUGGGGUAUCUCGCCGGCGAAAUUCUUUAAAGCUUUCUCAAGACAACUGAAAAUCUAGUUCAUGGGAACGUAUUACAAUAACCCGAUGCCCCCUCCUCUGAAAAGGCUUCUCUGAACCCCCAGCUCCCCGAGGCUGCCCCUCCUCAGGGCGCCCACAGCCCCCUCACCCUAAAUUGUAAUCACCUGUUUCAUUGCCUGACGCGCCCCCUAUAUACCAUGAGCGUGAGUUCUCCAGGCAAGCCUUGGUCGGGUUCACUGCCUCCUCCCUAGAAAUGCACAGAGCUGGCUGGCACAUAGCAGGCGCUCAAUAAUAUUUGUUGGAAUUUG